GUUGUUACAGACACGUUAGCUCUGAGUUUCAGAGUUGUUAGGGCCACUCGUGGGUCACUGACCCAACCGGCCUUCAUGUGGGUUGCUAAGGCUAGGUGAGCCAAGGUGUAAAUGGUUGUUAAGUUGUCUGGGCAGGGAACUCAGUACUGCAUUGUACGUGGGUGUGGUCGUUCCAGUCCUCCCCUCCUCUUUCAAACCAUCUGUCUUCUCUGGCCAACAUGUUUACAUUGUUGUCCUCAAAAGAAUGAUUUUUCUCCUUUAGAUGUAAGUGUACAGAAGAGUCCUGACCAGAGGAGUUGGCCCUCCUGUGGUGUGCCAUUCAUUUAUGGAGAGGUUGAUUUGCCUCACCAAUAUACAAAUCGGUACAGUCCUGGCUGCAUUAAUAGUCUCAAAGAGGAGGAAAAGGAUCCAUCCAUCCUGUGUACAGAGGAGGUGGACUAUGACAUUACUAACCCACGUGAAGUCCAGUUGGGUCCACAGUCCUAACAACUCUGAAACUCAGAGCACACCCGUGUCCUUAACGACUCUGUAAGGACACUCCCACACAGAGUUUAAAAGCCUGCAACUCCCCUCCCUCUAGUUUCAACUGAAGAAGCGUCUUGGAUGAGAGACUAAACAUCUUCAAGUAACUGAAACAACUCCAGUUGCCUAGGAUACUGCACUUGCAGUUACCAUGACCUGGAUGACGGAGAACCUUCAUCAACAAUCAAAGGAGUGUAAUGCAGGCUUUACCCACAUGGUGGUGCAAGUGUAUCAUUCAGUCCCUCUCACUGACAACUGGAUCUAAAAGCACUGAGGUUUACACUUUCACCAGCUAGUAUUGUCAGUGGGUUGAGACAUUAUUCCCAAAUAAAGGGGACUGGUUCAUGGGCCACAUAUCAUAUUAGUAAAUAUGUACCCUCUGUGUAACUCUUAUCCAAAGGUUGACACUGUAAAGGACUGAUAACGUGGAUUUCUUCACAGUUAUAUCCUCACAUAAAAAAAUCUGCACGGACUGGAACCUCAGCUCACCGUGUUUAUACAACUAACACGGGAGCUUUGGAGGAGGUUUACAGAUCGGAGCCAGGGGGGACUCAUGCUGGGCUAGCUAGUUAGCAUGCUAACAUAAUGGAAUUAUUUGAUAUCACAUCAAACUUCACAUUCUGUCGAUAAUUCUAGUGAAUAUGUUGAAUAUUUUAAAGUGAAAUUCCGACAUAUUGCACUUUAAGGCAUAUUUUCCUGAUUAUUCUAACUAACUUUUACCCAAGUUACAAUUUUGAUGCAAGACUUUUUCUUGUAAGUAUUUUUUGCUGUGUUAGUAAUAUUUCUAUUUUCUGACAUGACUGCUUGAAAAAGAAAAAAAACAUUUCAGGUGCCUCAGUAGAUACGCCAUAUACCACUAUAAGACAUCCCCAUGUCUCUCGAGCUGCUGUAGAAUCAGGGUUUCUGGCACAACUGCACUUACUUCCAAGGUGUAUGGAGAAGGUAAGAAAGUCUAAGGAGGUGAAAACUCCCGCAACACUUGUGGAAACUAGAGCAAUUUCAGCAUUAGGUCAACAAAGUUGUUCUAUGUACUGCAGUUUUGAUCGCUCCAGCUGCCACCUCAUGUAUGAUUCCCUCAUUCUACUGGAAAUCUUACUGUCCAAACCAUGUGCUUAAUGGCUAUGCCUACAAGAGGGCGCUCUUUACCUAUUUAAAAAAAACUGCAUGACCGGACUACAGUUAUUAAGGCUCAUGAAUUUAGAGUUCAGACCUACUUAGUGCUACAUGUGGGACUUGAUUAGUCAUUCAGAGUCUUCAAAGUUGCCUGGUGAGACAUUUCACUUUGAGGGUAUGGUAACAGAUCCUUAAUCAAACUAAGAGCUCAUGACUGUUUCUUAUUCUUGCCGUAUGUUACCACCAAGUCUUGUUUCAAGGUAAGUAAUCACUAGAAAACUGACAGCACUGAUCACUUAUUCAAACGCCUAAAAUGAUAAACUAAUGUUAAUAUCCUUUUAAAAAGCGUCCUCCUGUGACCUUGUAAAAUGUGACUCCUGUGUGUCACGAGCACCCGCUAAAGUAGAUCAACUUGCAGUGGCCAACAAUGGUUCCUUUUAAUCCCGACCAUAAUCUUUCCCUGAACUUAACCUACACUCUUAACCUAAAUGAUGGCCAUGACGAAUCUUAUUUGGAAGGCAGUGAAAAACAACCUAAUCUGUCAUUUAGUGUGAGGAACUUGGUGCACACAGAAAUCCUGUAUUCUGGAUGUGUAAUAUCAUUCAUUACAGAAACAGGAUCAAAUAUAUUCAAAUGGGGAAAUGCCGUCCGUUACUCUUUCAAGUACAGCCCUGUUUUGGCUUCGAGUCCUGCCCUUAAAUAAACCUUUCGUGAUUCAGGCGUGUGAACACAUGGCCUGCAAUUGGUGGCUGUUUUCUGUCUCCUGCCAUCGGUGAUGGCCUGCUGAUAGGCUUCCUCAAUCCAUUAGUCACCGCUUUCAGCUGAUCAACGCUGCAAAGAUAAGCCGGACGGAGGAGAGAAAGUUGCCAAGAGAGUGUGAGAGAGGGGGGGAGGAAUGGCGGGAGAGAGAGAGAGAGAGAGAGAGAGAGAGGAGCAAAGAGAGAAAGAAUGAUAUAUCGGAGCCUCAUUAUUAUUAUUUUUUUUUUCUGUGAGAGGCAGAGAGUGACAGGCUGCAGCUCCUCUGCCAGCUGAGCAAAGAACAGAGGAUUUUUGGGAGACUUGCAACAGCAAUAUAAAUCUCAGGGACAUGUGGGAAAAGUAUCAAUUGAGGAGCGCUGUAAAAAUGAUGACUGACUUUCUGUAAAAUGUUCAUGUUUCCAUUCCCGGCGAGGCAUAAUGUGAACAGCACCACGGGCUUACUUUAACACACUCACCCACAGUCUGUGCAGCCUCCCCCAUUUCCCUCCCCCUGCCCCAUAUUUUUGGAGCCCGACUGUGCGUCUGUGGCGCCACACUCGCAACUGACAGCUUAAUACCGCUGCAGAAAUUGGUUUCAUGAAGUGGGCAAGAAGAAAAAAAAAAAGGAAGAAGAAAAAAAAAAUGAGAUGAGAUUUUAAAAGGCUUCUUUUCUGGUGUGGGCUUUGCUGCGCUGUCUUCCUCAUCAUCUGUCAUAUUUGCCCGUCUAAUGAUGUUUAAUAACAGAGUGAGGCACGGCGCUCAGCGCAAAACACACUGCCAGCCAUUGUGCCUCUGUCUUCCCGGAUGAUGACUUGAGGUAAAUGUUAUGACGCAGAGGAGUAUUUCCAUUCAGGGGCGAUGUUCUCUCCAGCCAAGUUAACUGUCUGUCAGACAAAUCCCCGUCAGGACUUGGCUUGCCAUCGGUGAAAGUAUAGUUUUUAUAGGUUGCACUUAUACUUCUUUGUGUGAAACUCUGUGCUGCCAUGAAACACGCUGUGCUAAUGUAAAAACCUGCAAGACUGGUUGAACCAAAAAUCGCACAGAGUUGUGAUUCUUGCUUUCUUGGUGAGUUAAAGGGGCUAUUUUGUAAGAAGUGUUGUUGAAUACAAACCAAAAAAUGAGCUAAAAUCAUCAAAUGAAUUUGAACAAACAACUGUUUUGAUCUUAUGAUGUCGGUGUAUUGUUGCAUAUUCACUGAGGUUAGCAUGCUAAGCAGCUAGCCCCGAACUGUCACAUUCCAAAGUUCCUGUGCUAGCUAACAUCAACAACUCCCCCGAUGCCCUUAGCUUCCGAUCUCAAUCAGUAGCUGCACGGCCAACUGAGCAAACCGCAGUUACAGUAGUUAGCUGUUGCUGUGGGGAGUAUGAACCUCAGUCGAAGCUCCCGCUCCUCAGACAGGCAUGGCUGUUUUUACCAUACAUGUGUUCACGAGCGUGUCUAUUCAUGUGUGAUUUAGAGUGUGAUCUCCAUCUACAGUAAGCUGGCCUGCAUGCAUGAUGGAUGAAUGUGCGUCUGAGGGGGGGAGCGCAUGUGAAUUCAUGCCCCUCAACACUCUCACAGUUGGCUCUUUCAUUGUACACAGAUUGCGUCACAGAGCUCGCACAAACCCUUCACUUUUCUCUCCACAAUAUAGCCAGGAGCCAGAGCCUAGUUACAGCUCAAGCCUUUUAAUUAAAGCGAGUCACUCGGUGCCGUCCUGGAUGAGGCCUGUGGGUGCAUUAAUCAUAUUACCUAAAAAACUGAUCCGAGACCAGACCUAUCUUGUAAAUACAACGCAGCCUCACACAAGUCAGGAAGUGUGCAGACAGGUAGAGCUUCCACAUCGUAUUGUCUUUGGCAGCGGGGCAGCUCCACACACAGAACCCUCUUUGUCUGGUGGCUGAGUGGAAAGCGGUGUUUGCUCAGAAGCAGUAAUGAUGUAGUAUCUGUGUUUUCCAUCAAUUCGAAUUGAUGUCGUAGGGAAGCCCACUGCUGAUUGUGAUCUUUAUCAUUUAAACUAAAUGUUAUACUCCUGGCGCCCAUGUUGAGGCACUUACAAAAGCUCAGCUUUAUGUUCCACGGAGUCAUAAUUGUUGUUGUGUACGUUGCACGCUGUAGGAAAUGUCUCAAGGCAACAUGUUUUGACAGCAAAGGCUCUUGUGGCUGUCAGCGUCUCGGUGUUCCUGCUGUCACAUGGCGCUGUACUGUAUCAGCAUGGUAGCUUUGGAAACAUGCAAGGCUUGUAGAAAAUAAGUCAGUUGUAAAAAAUGGAAUAUAGUCUCCUGUAAGACCUUUUUUUUCAUGAAAAACUUAAAUGGGCGAUUUAGAUUAGCAAAAGCAUAUUUGUUUUUACACAGCUACUUAAUAGUGAAAAGUGAAAGAUAUGGCUGGUCAAAGAUCACUACAAACAAAUAGGGGGCAGGAUAUCACCAGAGUAACCUCUAGCUGCUGCUCUCUGUUCAAGAGUUUCCUGGGAAAGUCAGUAAUAGUAUCAUAGUAACUGAAGCACUGACAACGUUAGCUAACUGGGCUAAGCAAUAGUACGUGUUUGAACUGUUAACUCAGUCGCUAACUUAGAUCUUCAUCAAUGAAUGAUACGCAGUGCCAGUUACUCUAACAGUGAGGCUUAGCGUCCUGUUACCAUGGAAAAUGCAGGUUAAAAGGUUAAUUGGCUGGACGUGGAAGUCGGGCCACUGAUUUGCAUGUGAGCAUCAUGGGGUGGAUACUCUUUGCUAAAGCUAUCUUUUGCUGUAGAUAGCUGCUGUUAGCUUGUUAGCAAAGUUAUUUCAGUUAGCCAUGUUGUCAGUGGCUGACUCGCUCCAAACAACGGAGGAGGGCUGGUGUUCACACUGCAGGCAAUGGAACCUGGGCUCAUUAUCACAGCCAACAAUGCUGCCAGAUGGCCGGCUUCAGUCCGAGUCACACUACUGGAUAUUUUUAAGGAGAAUUCCUCGUUUUUGUGCUGGCCUGUUCUUUUUUGCAGGGAUUCAGGCCAUCUUCAUCCAUGAGAUAGUGAAACUGUUAUUUUCUCCUAACGCUAACCACGUGGUUUUUGAGUGUAAACUUAACCACAAACAUGUAAUUGUAACAAGAGAAAUAGUUUUGACCUAAACAAAUAUAAAGUUGCAACAUAAAGAAACUUUGUGUUUUAACUUUGUUGUGGUUUUGCAGAAACAUGCUUAGCCAGCAUUCAUUCUGGUGAUUCAGUGGCAUCUUCAGUGUGGAUUGGCAAUCGAAAUAGUGUUACAUCCAACUCUGUGGAUACAUUUUAUCGACCAAAGACUGAACAAGAUAGCUUUUGGUGGGUUUUAUGUUGUGUCUGAGGAGUUCAGUAAAAGACAGAAAAUGGAAAUUAGAAGGUUUAUAGUGGUAUGUUUCUGUUUCCUUACUUUGUGGGAUCGUGUGAGUUAAUUUAGUUCCGACUUAAAAAGCUAACAGAGCCCAUGAAACAUAGCUAUUUCAAUCCUCGUAUACAUCUUCCAGCUGAAACUACAGCACAUUCGGUGUUUUUUCAAGAUAUCUGGGCCAAGGAUAGCUGUUGAGCAUGCUCACUUCAGCAGACAUACAGGUUGCAUACAACUGAGUUAUGAAAUGGUAAUUUAGAAUUUAAAUUGCUCAACCCAUCAGCACACACCACUGAUUGUUAUGUGUGAGAACAAUAUAUUAAGAAGUGGACUUACAAUAUGUGGCAAUAAUAUUUCAGUCUAUCGAGAUGAAUUCUCAAUGCCAGUGGGUCACUUAUGGCAAUGACCCUGUUCAACACAACCUUGCCUAUUGAUGGACAUUACUUGAAAAAGAAAAAUCUCCUGCAUUUACUACAUUUGCUACUGAAAAGAAACCAUCAUGAACUGCCUCCCCUGUGCGGGUAAAGACAGUCCAAUAAAUGUUUUGCUGCAGUUACAUUUUAGUAAUUACCUCUAAUUGCCCUCCAUCACUGUUAGUUGUUGUGAUUGCUUUAAAGGCCCCCCUUUGUUGAGAUGAAGAGAUAAAGACAAACAUAGGUUUGACACAUCUAUGUAGAAUAAUACAACCCUGAGCUCCUUUUUGCCUUGACAUCAAACAGACUAAUGAAGGUGUUAAAAUGCGCUGAGAUACUGAAGCAGAAAGCAAUGACUGUACGCAGAUAAACUGACAGUAAGGAAAAUAUUCCUUUUCCUCCCACAAAUCUGCUCUCAGUUUUGAUAUAAUGAAAUCAACCGUCAGCUGCAGGGUGCCUGAGCUCCGCAGGUGGUAGUAUAUUCUGAUCCUGUAUCGAGCUGUUAACGCCUUCAAAUUAUUUAUAUUUCCUUUCCUCUUUUCAGUCAGUGUAAUUUUAUCUUACAGUCCUUCUUGCCAAUAAGAUCUGACAAACGGCAGAAUAAGACAAUGAAACUCUGACAGGGUCUUGUAUCAAUUCAUUUUUAAAAUCAGGUUUGAAAUGGAAAUGAGGCCUUGUCAGACUGGCUUCUUCAUUUACGGGCCGCCCCUAUCAGAGAUACUGUACACAAAGGCCUCACGCUGAUUAAAUAUGUAGGGUUAUUACCAUCCCUUUGCAAAUGAAUUAAAUGGUUACACAAUCUGAGAACAAAACAGCUAAAUCCACUUGGAUUUUAUCUCAAAUUGAAUUCAAUAAUAUCUUCUACUUUGUUCUAACACAGUUUCAUUUUAUUUCUCACAAACCCAACGUCAAUAUCAACUUAAAACUCUUGUUGAAUUUAGACAGUUGAGGUGAUUUGAAGUUCGCUGAGCAAACGAGGGACCUGUCCAAAGAAAACUGAGGAAAAGACUGGACACAGCUGACCUUGAUGAUAACCCUGAGUUUUCAAAGUCUAGCUUAACAGUAUUUGACUGAUAUUUGAGGACGUGCAUUGUCAAUGUUUGUGGCUCACACCAUAUUAUAGUUUACGGAUUUUGUUACAAGAUGUGUUUUUUUUUCCCCUUUUUAAAAAACUACAAUGCUGGUUCUACGUUGGUAAUUAUUUUACAUCCUUUUAUGAUAUCUAACAUUUAGGAGGACCCAUUGAGUGAUCAAGUUUCUAUGUCACUCAGAACUUAGUAAAACCAAGUUGGCCUAUCUUGCUAGCUUCUAAGAAAAAUGAAUGCUAGUAAAGAUCUAGCAAGCUGAUAUGAGCAUGAACCUGCUAGACAUUACUUUUUGAAAUUUCACUGUUGUGUUCAUCCUAAAUUAUAGAAAGGAAGGAGGCUGGCCUGUGUUAUUUGCCUCACUUCCAUGUGUCUAAAUGAUGAUUCCCAGGUUGUAGUAUCAGGGUUUGGUCAGACUACCUUGGCAGGGACAACCGUCAUCGUCAGAAAAAUGGUCAGAUAGGUUCAAAUAAAAGCAAUUAUUAUGACCCAUAAUUACAUCUGUUGUAAGGUAGCAGCCUCUAGAAGCUGUGGUAAUUAUGACGGCUACAGAGGAGGACAGAUGGAGGAGUAUAAGAGUUAUAAGUCCGUGUAGGGCAGCAGUCAGGGAUGGACAGUCAGGUAAAACAAGCACAAUGCUGUAAGCGUCCAGUACGGUGAGUUUGUUGAACUAACUAACAUAGUGAAGUUACGUCAUGUACAUACUAUGUAGUGAGUUACAGAAGUAACAUGCUGAUUUUAACCCAAACCACAACGUUACCCUUUCUUGUCUAAACCCUGACCUAACUGAGACUGUACCACAAGCAUUUGGUACGUUUGACGUGUUUUUUUUUUGUUGUUGUUUUUUUGCAGCGGUUAAUUUGGAAACAGUCAUAUCUGUUGUUUUGGGAGACGCUGACGAUCAACCUAUUCAGACAUUUACCAGUGAGGAAGGAUUAUGGAGUGGCCGGAUACCGACAGCAGUCUCCUGGGUGACUGUGCUUUACCCAUCCAUCCUCCCUGCUCCUUAUUAUACAUCACCUGCUUUGCUCUGAGCAUCUCAAUGCGUCGCACACAGAUGCUCAAGGUUUCCUUGUGUGUCUGAAUCAAAGCACAUAUUCUCUGUGCUGCUCCAGAGUCAUUUAUUCAAUUACAAGUUUCAAUUCAAGCCAGGCUGUAACAUGGCAGUCGGACUGCACUGAGUCUGAUUUCAGUUUGAAUAAAUCCUUUUUCACCUUG